rnacentral:ncRNA from 2 species
GCUAGUUGAUUCGGCAGGUGAGUU